GGACUACACGGGUAUCUAAUCCUGUUUGCUCCCCUAGCUUUCGUCCCUCAGCGUCAGUUGUGAUCCAGCGAGCCGCUUUCGCCUCGGAUGUUCCUACGGAUAUCUACGCAUUUCACCGCUACACCCGUAAUUCCACUCGCCUCUCUCACACUCUAGCAUGGUAGUUUCGUUAGCAGCCUCUGGGUUAAGCCCAGAGAUUUCACUAUCGACUUACCACACCGCCUACGGACCCUUUACGCCCAGUAAUUCCGAGCAACGCUGGCCCCCUACGUAUUACCGCGGCGGCUGGCAC
rnacentral:rRNA from 1 species